UACGUAGGGGGCGAGCGUUAUCCAGAUUUACUGGGCGUAAAGGGUGCGUAGGCGGCUUCUUAAGUCUGGUGUGAAAUCUCCCGGCUCAACUGGGAGGGUGCGCCGGAUACUGAGGGGCUAGAGUGUGGGAGAGGAAAGUGGAAUUCCUGGUGUAGCGGUGAAAUGCGUAGAUAUCAGGAGGAACACCGGUGGUGUAAACGGCUUUCUGGACCAUAACUGACGCUGAGGCACGAAAGCGUGGGUAGCAAACAGG
rnacentral:rRNA from 1 species